rnacentral:rRNA from 1 species
UACAGAGGAGCCAAGCGUUGUCCGGAUUGACUGGGCGUAAAGCGCACGCAGGCGGUCGUGCGCGUGGGGGGUAAAAUCUGGCCGCUUAACGGCCAGGCGCCAUCCCAUACGGCACGACUGGAGGGCUGCAGAGGUCGAUGGAAUUGCCGGUGUAGUGGUGAAAUGCGUAGAGAUCGGCAGGAACACCCAGGGGGAAACCAGUCGACUGGGCAGCACCUGACGCUGAGGUGCGAGAGCGUGGGGAGCGAACCGG